ensembl:lncRNA
CAGUAAUGGCUUUUUGGAUUUGAUAAAAAUAUUAUGAUCAAUGCAGAUUCUGUGUGAAAGCUUUUUUGAUUGUUGUGUUUGUCGUCAGGGAUGGUAUACGUUUUGCAUUUCGAGAUGUACAGGAUGGAGAGGAGCCGUAUCCAAAUAUCCCCUUCUUGCAGGUCCUUAGUGAAUUCAGUUUCAAGUUGUUGCCAAAGGACCGCGCCCAGUUAGCUGAGUUGCUGAAAUCAGAGUGUCCCAGUGCUGCCCUCUCCUGGCCAGCAGUCAGAAUGUAUCAGCGGUCAUUAGAGACUCGCUCCACAGCCAAGUCCAGAGAGCAGGAGGAGAGAGAUGAUACAGUCUCCUUACAAGCAACUCCUGUAGCCAAACGCAGGAGGACUACUGCUAAAGGUUCAGUGCUGAGCAGUGUCAAAGGAUUAGAGCUGGAAAGCAGCAGUCUCCACAGCCUACACACACCGGUCCUCACCUCCACUGUCCAGAAACAGCCAGACAAGGCUCCAGGAAAAUCCACAACUACAGAGUCUGAUAUUGGCAGUGGCAUAACUGAGCUGGGGUCAGAGGAUGAGUUUUCCUCAGGGUUACAGAUGAGAAAAGUGAAGGCCACCAAACGACGCCAGGUGCUCCCAACUACAGAGCAGCAAGACCUGACCUCCCACCUCAGUUUGUAAGAGCGAUCUUAAAAAAGCAUAUUUUUGAUUAUUUGUUUUUAUAUUGUGAAACAUAAUGUUAUCCCAGAAUAAUAACAGAA